rnacentral:piRNA from 1 species
UGCCUGAAUUUAGGAUGUGCUAUUUGUCCC